CCAGGGGGCCGGGCAGCCGCGGCGGGUUGCGAUCCGUCGAGGAAAGUCCGGGCUCCACGAAACAAGGGUGGCGGGUAACGCCCGCCCGCCCCGGAGUGGUCCGGGGUGAGGGACAGUGCCACAGAGAGCAGACCGCCGAUGGAGCCGACGGCUCACAGGCAAGGGUGAAAGGGUGCGGUAAGAGCGCACCGGGGCGCCGGCAACGGGGCCCGCACGGCAAACCCCACCCGGAGCAAGACCGAAUAGGGGCGGUGCGCCGGUCCGUCGCAAGGCGGGUCGGCAGGUCGGUUUCGGACCGAGCCGCCCGGGUUGGUCGCUAGAGCGCGCCGGGCAACCGGCCGCCGAGAUGAAUGGCUGCCCCCCGCCCCGGCGGGGACAGAACCCGGCUUACAGGCCCCCUGGCAAC
rnacentral:RNase_P_RNA from 1 species